UAACGCGUGGGUAACCUGCCUCAUAGAGGGGGACAACAGUUGGAAACGACUGCUAAUACCGCNUAGUAAGAAGAAUUCGCAUGUUUUUUUCUUGAAAGAUUUAUCGCUAUGANAUGGACCCGCGUCUGAUUAGNUAGUUGGUAAGGUAACGGCUUACCAAGGCGACGAUCAGNAGCCGGCUUGAGAGAGUGAACGGCCACAUUGGGACUGANACACGGCCCANACUCCUACGGGAGGCAGCAGUGGGGAAUAUUGCACAAUGGGGGAAACCCUGAUGCANCGACNCCGCGUGAGUGAANAAGUAUUUCGGUAUGUAAAGCUCUAUCAGCAGGGAAGAUAAUGACGGUACCUGACUAANAAGCCCCGGCUAACUACGUGCCAGCAGCCGCGGUAAUACGUAGGGGGCAAGCGUUAUCCGGAUUUACUGGGUGUAAAGGGUGCGUAGGUGGCAAGGCAAGUCAGAUGUGAAAGCCCGGGGCUCAACCCCGGUACUGCAUUUGAAACUGUCUAGCUAGAGUGCAGGAGAGGUAAGCGGAAUUCCUAGUGUAGCGNUGAAGUGCGUAGAUAUUAGGAGGAACACCAGNGGCNAAGGCNGCUCACUGGACUGUNACUGACACUGAGGCACGAAAGCGUGGGGAGCAAACAUGAUUAGAUACCCUGNUAGUCCACGCCNUANACGAUGAAUACUASGUGU
rnacentral:rRNA from 1 species